UACGUAGGGUGCAAGCGUUGUCCGGAAUUAUUGGGCGUAAAGAGCUCGUAGGCGGUCUGUUGCGUCGGCUGUGAAAACUCGGGGCUCAACUCCGAGCUUGCAGUCGAUACGGGCAGGCUAGAGGUCGGCAGGGGAGACUGGAAUUCCUGGUGUAGCGGUGAAAUGCGCAGAUAUCAGGAAGAACACCCGUGGCGAAGGCGGCUCUCUGGAACGGAACUGACGCUGAGACGCGAAAGCGUGGGGAGCGAACAGG
rnacentral:rRNA from 1 species